rnacentral:rRNA from 1 species
CGCAUCUGUGCAUGCAGCAUAUCAAUAAGCGGAGGAAAAGAAACUAACAAGGAUUCCCCUAGUAACGGCGAGUGAAGCGGGAAGAGCUCAAAUUUGAAAUCUUAAAGGGUUUCCCUUUACGAAUUGUAGUUUAAAGAAGUGUUUUCUGUUGAGGUUUUGGUAAAAGUUCUUUGGAAUAGGACAUCAUAGAGGGUGAGAAUCCCGUAUUUGACCUUUACUUUCAACUUUGUGAUACACUUUCAAAGAGUCGGAUUGUUUGGGAAUGCAGUCCAAAAUGGGUGGUAAAUUUCAUCUAAAGCUAAAUAUUGGCGAGAGACCGAUAGCGAACAAGUACCGUGAGGGAAAGAUGAAAAGAACUUUGAAAAGAGAGUUAAACAGUACGUGAAAUUGUCAAAAGGGAAGCGUUUGACUCCAGUGUUGUUUUUCUGAAAAUCAAUUAAAGAACUGUUUAUGCUAAGUUGUUUAGACUUUAUCAGCUAUCUGUUUAGUUUUGAGCUAUUCUUUAAUGCACUUUUCAGUUAACAAGUCAACAUCAAUUUCUUUUGCUGUAAAAAAGCUUGAGGAAGGUGGCUUGAGAUUCGUCUUAAGUGUUUAUAGCCUCUUGCCUAUGCAGUCGGAGAGAUUGAGGUCUGCAGCGUAGAUCCUUCGGGGCUAAAUGCAUUUGUGCUAAGUUAUAGCAUUUUAUAGACAACUUGUUGACUAUGAUUUGUCUUGUAGCUUACUCGCUUAUGUUAUUUUACCUACGCUUAGGAUGUUGAGUCGUAGAGCACGCAG